AUUGGUAGGUGUGGUUAAUGAUUGUGGCCCAUCCUACAUACUAGUGAAGAUGUCUGGUGUAAGGAGACUUAUUCCUGUUAACAAAUUGACUCUGGCUGGGACUUAAAAUAUUAAAAGACCUUCUUUCUUGAUGUCUUUGGGGGACGGGCCGUCUUUCAUUAUCAUUGGGGACUUGUACACAAUCCUGGCCUGUCCGAGGCUUACCUCAUCCAUUACAACUUGAGAUGGACUUUGAUGUACACUAAUGAAGUCUUACUCCUUCUCAAGGCGAUGGAUCAUCUUUUACCAAGAUAGGACAGCUUAUAUUCAUUAUAUCUUUUCAAUUGUACAACAUUACUGUAUAUACUGAGAUAUUUAGCUGUUGUUUAAUUACUGUGUGGUGUGUAAACUGUAUUACCUGUAUUUUAGUGUAGUAUCAAGUUUAUUAUAACAAUAACAGUGACUAUUUAGCUAACUAUUAGGUGUGAUGAUGGCAGUAGUGUUGUUAUUACUUAAAAGAAUGUAUUAUUAAUAAAUUAA